rnacentral:lncRNA from 1 species
GAGUCUUUGGCACACUCAAUAUAUGAGUACAUUUCCUCAGUAAACCAAAAGAAAGUACAGAUUCAUUGAGAAAGGGGUGAAAAGCCUAGUUUUGGCAGAUACUAAAACUGGUUAGUACUAUUAGAAUUCCAUUUACUGGUGAGGAAACAGAAGCGUGGAAAGAUCAAAUGACUCCUUCAAGGUCACAUAGGCAGUGAGAGACCCGGGAAUGAGUGCUAGGAUUAGUUCUUUCUCACAGCAAAGGAAAGAAAGUCAAAUACAGAAGAGCAGAAACACCAGCAUCUUUAGAAAGACUCAAACCAGUGUUCUUUUCUCAUUUGGGGAAGAAAAAACAAAAAUAGCGGCUCUUUAUUAAGCCAUGACCAUGCGUGCACUGAGAGAUUUGUAGGCAUUUUUUCACUUUGGGCUCACAAUAACCUUAAGAGUUAGAAGGUAUAAUCCCUCUUGUUUUACAAAUGAAAACCCCAAGACUCAGAUGUGCAAGUUGUCUUUGUUCAGAGUCUCAUAGCUGCUGAGUAAAAGGAGUAUAAGAUGAGGGGCUGUCUCCGAUGAGGCCCGUCUGACUUAACUGCUUCCCCAAAUGCUGCUGAUAAAACCCAGCAGUACCGGCUGUGCUGGUGUUCUAGCUCAGGCAGCUGGACUUUUUUCUCUUCCUCAUUGGUUUCCUCUUUUAGAAUAUUGGUCUCUAGGCUACUCUGUGCCUCAGACUAUACGCAGCUAGAACUUUUGUGAGGUUUAUUAUCAUUGGUAGCAAAUAUGUGUUGAGAGCUGGCUGCCAUGUCAGGUGCUGUGUUCAGCGCUUUAUUGGACUUGAGCCGUUUUAUUCUCCCGGCUCUACUGGGAAGCAGAUGUCAUCAUUGUCUGCUUCUUCUUCCACUGCCUUGUUGAAUGAACUAAUAAAGGUUAUUCCCUUACAAGCAUCUUCGGAGACAACUUUGUCCUAGCCAAGCCAUGGAUUUUUGGGGAAGCAGAGGAAUGAAAUGAUAAAAAGGAAAAUCAUUACCCUCUAGUAAAACCAGUAUUUCUUAACCUUUUGGGAGUCAUUGGACCUGUUUGAGAAUUUGAUGAAAACUUUGAACUAAAUCUCCAGAAAAGUAUUGAUUAGCACAUAACGACAUUUCACAUAGCGUAUACAUGUUUGUAUUUUACUCACAGCCUUCUGAACCUCAGGCUAAGAACCAGUACUUUAAAUGCUGUUAUAGUAAGUCCUUACAGUAGGUCUCACUGCAACCUCCAUCUCCCAUGUUCAAGCGAUUCUCCUGCCUCAGCCUCCUGAGUAGCUGCAAUUACAGGCACAUGCCACCAUGCC